ACUAUUUUGGCAGAAAAAAUGUAAUGAUUUUAGAAAUCAUAAAUAUGUAAUUUAAUUAUAUAUGUAGUA
rnacentral:tRNA from 1 species